AUCCUCCUACGGGAUCAGAAGUUUCCCUGAACCUGAUCUUCAAAAUACUCGACAAAUUUGAUGCUGCCCUCGCUGACAGCAGUUCUGCAAUGUAUAAAGCACUGGAAUAUACUGUUGGCACUCAGUUGAAUAAUUUGUACAAGAAAAGGUACAUCGCCUUCCUCAGAUGUAUUGUCAUCUGUUUCAGGCCUGGUUCAACGGAAAUAACAACCGAGUUGAUCUUCGCAAAUCAGUCGGUUGUUCCUAAUAUUACAGACGUUGAGCAGACAUUAAAGGAAGCCAUCAACACUUCA